CUCGUGUGAACAGGCACGUCGCUGGAGCAGUUAUUAAUUCAGGAAAGGGACGUAGGUCACGGCAGUGGCCGAGGAUCACGUAAUCCCGGUCUUGAUGGGGUGGCAUCACCAUCUGCAGUGUAUGAGGAUGACAGUGAUCGCCACGCAGCAUUGAUGGAAGCUAAAAUCAGCACCUAAGAACCAAAACGGCAGAGAGAAAGAGCCCGUUCCGAAAC
rnacentral:lncRNA from 1 species